AGCGAACGCUGGCGGCAGGCCUAACACAUGCAAGUCGAACGAAGUCUUCGGACUUAGUGGCGGACGGGUGAGUAACACGUGGGAACGUGCCUUUAGGUUCGGAAUAACUCAGGGAAACUUGUGCUAAUACCGAAUGUGCCCUUCGGGGGAAAGAUUUAUCGCCUUUAGAGCGGCCCGCGUCUGAUUAGCUAGUUGGUGGGGUAAUGGCCCACCAAGGCUACGAUCAGUAGCUGGUCUGAGAGGAUGACCAGCCACAUUGGGACUGAGACACGGCCCAAACUCCUACGGGAGGCAGCAGUGGGGAAUCUUGCGCAAUGGGCGAAAGCCUGACGCAGCCAUGCCGCGUGGAUGAUGAAGGUCUUAGGAUUGUAAAGCUCUUUUGUCCGGGAAGAUAAUGACUGUACCGGAAGAAUAAGCCCCGGCUAACUUCGUGCCAGCCGCCGCCGUAAUAC
rnacentral:rRNA from 1 species